GAUUAUGGCUCAGGACGAACGCUGGCGGCGUGCUUAACACAUGCAAGUCGAGCGAUGAAGCUUCUCGGAAGUGGAUUAGCGGCGGACGGGUGAGUAACACGUGGGUAACCUGCCUCAUAGAGGGGAAUAGCCUUCCGAAAGGAAGAUUAAUACCGCAUAAGAUUGUAAUAUCGCAUGAUAUAGCAAAUUAAAGGAGUAAUCCGCUAUGAGAUGGACCCGCGUCGCAUUAGCUAGUUGGUGAGGUAACGGCUCACCAAGGCGACGAUGCGUAGCCGACCUGAGAGGGUGAUCGGCCACAUUGGGACUGAGACACGGCCCAGACUCCUACGGGAGGCAGCAGUGGGGAAUAUUGCACAAUGGGGGAAACCCUGAUGCAAGCAACGCCGCGUGAGUGAUGACGGUCUUCGGAUUGUAAAGCUCUGUCUUCAGGGACGAUAAUGACGGUACCUGAGGAGGAAGCCACGGCUAACUACGUGCCAGCCGCGGC
rnacentral:rRNA from 1 species